AUUGGAUAAAGGAAAUUCUUCUCCAUUUUUUUUUAAUGUUUAACUGGUAGUAGUUUAUUCGAUAUUGGAUAAAGGAAAUUGGGUUUCUCCAGCAAUGGAUAGGCUCUCCGGUUUUUCACUUUACUUUUGUAUCCAAGUUGGAUGCAAGAACUUCCACUCUUGUUUUAAGCUUUUCAUAGUGGAAUAAGCCUAUGCUUCCUCAGUUCUCUGUUUUCAAGGUGUUUCCCUCGUUUUCUUCAGUUGACGCCUUAACAUUAGUGAAUGUUAUGUAAUGAAAGUCUUCAUUGAAAUAUAUUACCUACCUGCAGUCUACUUGCUAGGUUGAAGUGGUUGCAUAUCAGUUAUUGGAAAUUAGGCAACGGAGAAAAGACUGUAGAUUUUUUCAGAACUAUUUGGUUCUAGGAUGUUAAUUUUCCUCCUCCUCUGGUCAUUUAUGGUGGUGAGGUUGCAGGCCCGCUAAAAUGGAGAUGGGUCUUGGUCCUCUAAGAAAGCCUUUAUUUUAGACGCUUUAGGUCUUUUCUAUAAAGCAAAUAUUGCAUUGUUUAAGCAUCUUAGAUGAUAAUUCUUGUGAAGCCUGUAAUAUGGAUACACAUGCAUACAUAUAGAAGAAGAGACUAUUAUGUUUGGGAAACUGAUUAAGUAGGCCGCUAUUACUGUAGAUAAUUUAGCAGCAAAAGAUACAUCAAGAUCCAUUAAUGGUUUCAAUCUUGACCACUGUAAUGUAAGGACCUUCUUCCAUUUUCUGGGCAAUAGUCAAUAUUUGGUCUAGCUCUGGCAUAUUACUCUCUUGUUUAUGGCAAUUUUUCUAAUGUAGGCUCAUUUCUUUCUUUGCCAAAUUAAAUUUACCUGUAACAAGAAUGUGCUUUGUAGUUUUUGCCGGUUAGAUUAGUUAAUAGAUUGGUCCAAACCGGGAUCUUUCACCUGCACUAAAAAACUAUUUUUAAAUUGUCACAGAAAAAAAAAUGAAGCAAAAAACACAAAAUCUGGAAAGGUUUUACAAUAACAAUAAUCUGCUUGGGGGGUUACUGUUUCUUAUCAUGCGCCACUGAAUGGAUCAGGAGUAAUUGUUAUUUACAGUGUGCUUAUACUUUCAAUGUUUGGUGUGAUUGCAAAUUCUCAAAUCAUGCCCAUUUUCCACAGAAUAAUCGAAUAUUUUUUAUUGUGAUUGUUAUCCGUACAGCUUCUUUUUACCUUGUCAAUUCUUCUCAUUUUGACAUCUAUCUUAUUCCUGUAGUUUUUGCUGGUUAGAUUAGUUAAUAGAUUGGUCCAAACCGGGAUCUUUCACCUGCACUAAAAAACUAUUAUAUAUUUUUGUUAUCUUUUUCACAGUGUGGUGUUUCAGCCUCUGAUUUCUUGUUUGAACUUAUUGUUUGAUUUCUGGAAACUGAAAUGAUGGAAGCUGAAGUGUUCCCUCUGUCUCUCUCAGACUUCUUUCAGUUCUUGGAUUUAAGUCCACUUUAAUUUUCCUCAGGUUGCAUACAAAAAAUUGAAACAUCAGCACCAACCUUAUUCUGUCAAACUCAUUAUAUUACUGCUUUUUAUGCAUGAUUAAGUUGAAAUGGUCAUUGCUCUUGUGAAAUAUGUGACUUAAAGCAUUGACAACA
rnacentral:lncRNA from 1 species